UAGGGAAUCUUCCGCAAUGGACGCAAGUCUGACGGAGCAACGCCGCGUGAGUGAAGAAGGAUUUCGGUUCGUAAAACUCUGUUGUUAGAGAAGAACAGCGCAUAGAGUAACUGUUAUGCGUGUGACGGUAUCUAACCAGAAAGCCACGGCUAACUACGUGCCAGCAGCCGCGGUAAUACGUAGGUGGCAAGCGUUGUCCGGAUUUAUUGGGCGUAAAGCGAGCGCAGGCGGUCAAUUAAGUCUGAUGUGAAAGCCCCCGGCUCAACCGGGGAGGGUCAUUGGAAACUGGUUGACUUGAGUGCAGAAGAGGAGAGUGGAAUUCCAUGUGUAGCGGUGAAAUGCGUAGAUAUAUGGAGGAACACCAGUGGCGAAUGCGACUCUCUGGUCUGUAACUGACGCUGAGGCUCGAAAGCGUGGGUAGCAAACAGG
rnacentral:rRNA from 1 species